ensembl:lncRNA
CCGGUCAGCCCUGAGAGCACAGGUGAAGGCAAUUCAACUGUGUGAGUGGGAGGGAUGGAGCCUGGCUCCACCUCUCUUAGACCCCAUUUAAGGGCUGACUGCCACUGUGGAAGGAUCUCUGGUUGGAGAUCCUUCUCUUGUAGAGUCUUUCCUGUGAGCCUUGAUCUUCAGAGAUGGGUGGUUACUCAGCUAACACUGGGACAACGUGUGAGCGCUUUGAUACAUACUGACACAAAUGACAGGACAAAGAAGCAUGCGUGGAAAUAAAAUGAAAAUUCAGAACAGAUGUCAGGACAUGUUUUUCAUGCUGAAUGUGCAGAGCGGUCAACCAGUGCAACUCUCCACAAUACAGAGUGAGACUUUCGUGUCUGUGUGUGUUCCUGGCAUGUCCAACACGGCUACUGAUUUCAAGAGGAGCUCAAGGAAUGUGCAGCUUGUGGAAAUAGACACAACUAAUAACUGUUGGCAAAUAUCAUUAGCAUCUCCGCAAGGAAUACAACAUAUGACAAUUAGUGACCAGUCCAGCAGAGGUGUUGGCUCUUUGCAUUGGUACAGGUAUGAAACACAUUGUCAGCUUACGUGCAUAUAUAUGCCUGUAAAUGUACAUAAGAUUAAAAAAUAUAUUUUUUUAAUAAGAAGCUUUAGAAGUGGUGUUACAGCAGCACCAAAACGCACAGCAAGAAAUGAAUUUUGAUUUUGAAGCUGGG